UUUAACAUAUAACACAUUUAUUAUAUUUAAAUAAAUUAAUAAAGACUUAAAAAUGUCUACUUUUUUAUUUCUAGUAAGGUAAAUAUCAAUAGACAUAAUCCCUUGUAACUAAAAUCUCUUUGGAGUACUCAAUAUUUUAUGAGUGUAAAAGUUUCCCGAAGCAAAAGGUAUGAGAAUCACUAGUGUGAAGUAUAAGACAAUGACUGUUGGUAACAUUUUUAUUUCUCAAUCACACUCUCUUAGGAAGACUUCAACAAUCUUGGCCAAAUGUCAUGUUUGAACAUGACAGGUCAAGGUUAAAAUUACUGUGAUAAAUAUCAUCAAGGAUCCCUCUGGAGCAGUGGUUGGGAUUGCUAAUGGACUUCCUGUAGAUCCACAGGAAGUGACUCUCCCUUACUAGUAAGUGAAAAUGAUUAUCUGGCUGAGAUCAUAAUCAUUGCUGAUCGGUACUUGGCCUCCUGCAAAGUUCCGUGCAAGCACAGAGACUUUUUGUAAGAUGCCACUGGGCAGAUGUCAAAUGGAGUGCCCUCCCCCAUCACCAUCUUGGUCCUGAAAAACUUAAUAACUUGGUAUUGUUCAGUGAGUCAUUCAAGCGAGUAGUGUGGAAUUCUACCUGUUCCUCAAGGCAGAGUAUCUGCUAAGCUGCUGCAAAGAGUGUUAGCCAUUCAUGGCUCUUUCUGUGCAUAAAGAGCUCAUGGUUGGGAGACAAGGUGAAUGCAAACCCGGAGUGAAAGCUUUGUAACUUCUGUGUUUGUCUGAAAUCGUGCACAAAUUAAGCCAGUAUGCAAAACAGAGCUCAACAAAUAUAUUCCUCUUUUUAGUGGUAUUUUCAGUGCUAGUU
rnacentral:lncRNA from 1 species